UUCUUUUGUUUUAAUUGAUUAACAAGGGAAUCAGUCUGAUAAACAUAUUUUAUGUCGCUUAGACAGCGAUGUGAUCUGAAUGCUGACAUAGGAAUUUAAUGAUCGCUAAAAAUCGGUUAUAUUCCUAGUAAGACUACACGUUUUAACAUUCAUAAUAAUAAUUCCCAAUAAAAUACAACGCGUGGGAUAAUUGCACCACAAUUUUGUUCGCUUUCUCCCGUGGGUCUCGUGUUGCGUGUUUUUGAUGUCUCUAUCAAGGUGCGCGUGCGAGGCCUUUCCCGCUGCGUCUUAAUUACUUCAUCUCGGAACAUUUACGUUACGAAGAUGUAGGAAUAAUCAUAUAUCUACGGAUUUCAGCCGCCAUCAUGUUUUGGCUGGAUUAUGUUGCCUCUCAACACAACGAAAUAAGCCGAACGUUAACGAAAGAAUCCGAAGAUCCAGUCAAAGGACCACACAAGUUAUAUAUCCAUCUUUCUCUAAUUUUGAGACGGCAUGGUUGAUAAAUAAAACAAAAGCAUUGAAUGAAACUGAUAGCAAUACAAUAAUGCAGUUGGAGUUGGAGGCUGCAGCCUGCAAUUACGCAUCGUCACAACUCACGAGUUUCCUUCAUGAGUAAAAACUUGAACGCGCCCACGGCAGGGCGGCUGAGUUGUCCUUUGAUGUUGCCGACAUAAAACGCCGCCGACGGUGAUUUAACUAAUGAAUUUAUUUAGCGGGCGUGCCGAGAGUCACUGCAUCCACGAGACUCAACAGCGAACUACAGUGUCAAGAAUUUACCACAAACUCUUAUUAUGUGUCGGUUUCUUAGAAAUGAUGUUAAAAUUUUGAGGGUAGGAAAAUUUUUAUUAUAUGCAAAAUGUUUAAUUUAGAUUACCUAGCCAUUUUUUAUAUCAACAUAUCAACCCAUAUUGCUAUUAAUUUCAAAUAUUUAUAAUUUCACUCAACAGUGACAAUUCAAACAAUGUUUAAUGACCUGCGGACAGUUGCAAAAAAUACUCCUUGAGAACCUCUACAACCUUCCUAUCAUAUCUUAAUAUACUAUAUUACGGUAUUAGAACCGCGAAAUAUAUAUAUUAAGACAAACUAAGACAAUUUUCCUUGACAGUUAUUUCUUCUUAAAGGAGUGUACUAUUGGAAAUUAGUUUAUGGUGUCUUCGAGGUGGUUUACCUUUAGACAUUUUGACACUUCGGGCGAAAACGCAGCGGGACGUCCUUCUAAACGUCUUCUAGGAACUUCGCGUGGGACACGAAAUUGAGAUCGCAUUAUAUAACAAAUAAAUUACGGCUAUUGACGGAAUCGAACAAUGUUAAUUAAAUAAUACAUAUUUGAAGCCAAUAAAGUUGCUGUAAACUUUUUUUUUUAAUAGUACGGGGGGCAAACGGGCAGGA